UCUGCGGAACAACUCCGGGAAACUGGAGCUAAUACCGCAUACGCCCUUCGGGGGAAAGAUUUAUCGGGGAUAGAUGAGCCCGCGUUGGAUUAGCUAGUUGGUGGGGUAAAGGCCUACCAAGGCGACGAUCCAUAGCUGGUCUGAGAGGAUGAUCAGCCACAUUGGGACUGAGACACGGCCCAAACUCCUACGGGAGGCAGCAGUGGGGAAUAUUGGACAAUGGGCGCAAGCCUGAUCCAGCCAUGCCGCGUGAGUGAUGAAGGCCCUAGGGUUGUAAAGCUCUUUCACCGAUGAAGAUAAUGACGGUAGUCGGAGAAGAAGCCCCGGCUAACUUCGUGCCAGCAGCCGCGGUAAUACGAAGGGGGCUAGCGUUGUUCGGAAUUACUGGGCGUAAAGCGCACGUAGGCGGAUAUUUAAGUCAGGGGUGAAAUCCCAGAGCUCAACUCUGGAACUGCCUUUGAUACUGGGUAUCUUGAGUAUGGAAGAGGUGAGUGGAAUUCCGAGUGUAGAGGUGAAAUUCGUAGAUAUUCGGAGGAACACCAGUGGCGAAGGCGGCUCACUGGUCCAUACUGACG
rnacentral:rRNA from 1 species